UCUAGGGUGUGGAACUGUGGCAAGUUGAGCUCCUGCCAGCUGUCCAAAUUAAUGACUUGAGGGUAUGGAACCCAGGAGUCCUGACCUCCAGAUCCCACCCCCGCCCUAACAGUUAGCCCUCACUCCCUUACCAGACCUGGGAAUGGAACAACAGUUGCACGUUUGUCGGAAGACUUUUUACUCUAGCAACACUCGGUGGUCAGCUGGGCGCCCCCUGGACACUGUCUGGAGCAACACAUCUCGAAGAACAACAGUUACAAAGGAAUUAGGUACAGUGCUCCUGUCAGCUAAUUUCUAAGUUAUUAUCUGCAAAAAAAACCCUAGAGUUUUCACGUGCCUCCAUAGCCCCUGGAAUCACAGUUAAAGUCCCUCCUCCCAAAAAAUCUGAAACGGCACCUCUGCAGUUGGACCUUUUGACAUCUGAGAAAGUGUGGAAAGACAGUUUAAAUUUAACCUAAUCACAAGAUCUUCCCUUAUCUCUGUCUACCAUAUGGUAGUCAUGGACAGCAGCCAAAAGUCUGUCUUCGUCAAAUGGUUUAUUAUGUCAAAGAACAAUGUGGCAUUAAGGCAACUCAUCUUCUAUUAUUCAAAACAUAUUCAAAAUGCCACUAGUACCAUUCAGGCAUCCAUGCUUGAAAUCCUGACAGUAAGCUCACCAACAUCAUACAGUUUUCCUAUGAUAAACUGAAAGCAUCAGAGCCAAGAGAGUGCUGACUGUGCUGUUGAAACAGUCCUGGACAGCACAAUGUUCACAAUAAAAUGACCGCAUCAUAUGCUUGUUCUGGACACAGUUUGCUUUGGAUGUCUCUGGCGGGAGUUCCAGGGGAGAAAGUAAGUUGCAGAACAGGCUCUGCAGCAGGAAGUAGAACUCGUAUGCAAAUCACAAAUCAGAAGUGGAAAACGUCAGUCUGAAAAUCUCUGAGGGGGAGUGAAUCAGUAACAGAGGAAAACUACUUUGAAGUUAAAAAGUCCCUUGAAAUGUUUCUGUCCUUACAAGUCAGGCUGCUGUUUAACCCGCACAGAUAAGUAACUGCAGGGGAAACCCAAUAUGAUUUUCAAGCAUAAUA